UGCUCAGCUUCCUCCGGACACCGCGGACACCGCGGACCCCCCGGAGCCUCCCCCCACACCCAACACAGAGCCCCCCACCUUAAAACAAGUGGUCAACAGGAAAACACAAAUCAAAAACUCCCCUCUGGAUACUUUGCGACAGAGACACAAGGGAAAAGCUGUGUUGUCAAAGAAGAAGUUGGAAAAGGAGAAAAAGAAAAACAAUAUAUUCCAACCGAUCUCUGCGGGCACGUGUAGAUCUUCGUGGAGACAACGUCCUCUGACUCACUGGCUGUAUCGCUGUCGCUGGGUCGUCCUCUGCUUGUACCUGUUUGUGCUCUUCUUUGUCAUCACGCUGACGUAUGUUCUGUGGAAGCUUCACUAUGGAACAUUUGAGCCCUGAUCUGUUCUUCUGGAACCAUUCGACUGGACCCGUCUGAAGAGUACGUGUGUAAACCACC